UACCAGCACCCCGAGUGGUCGGGACGUUUAUUGGGCCUAAAGCAUCCGUAGCCGGUUCUACAAGUCUUCCGUUAAUCCACCUGCUUAACAGAUGGCUCGCGGAAGAUACGUAUAGAGCUAGGAGGCGGAGAGGCAAGCGGUACUCGAUGGGUAGGGUAAAUCCGUUGAUCAUGAAGACCACCAGUGGCGAAGGCGGCUUGCC
rnacentral:rRNA from 1 species